rnacentral:rRNA from 1 species
AUACGUAGGGGGCGAGCGUUGUCCGGAAUGAUUGGGCGUAAAGGGCGCGUAGGCGGCGCGGUAAGUCUGGAGUGAAAGUCCUGCUUUCAAGGUGGGAAUUGCUUUGGAUACUGCCGCGCUUGAGUGCAGGAGAGGUUAUCGGAAUUCCCGGUGUAGCGGUGAAAUGCGUAGAGAUCGGGAGGAACACCAGGGGCGAAGGCGGGUAACUGGACUGCAACUGACGCUGAGGCGCGAAAGUGUGGGGAGCAAACAGGAUUAGAUACCCUGGUAGUCCACACUGUAAACGAUGAAUGCUAGGUGUAAGAGGUAUCGACCCCUUUUGUGCCGGAGUCAACACAAUAAGCAUUCCGCCUGGGGAGUACGGCCGCAAGGUUGAAACUCAAAUGAAUUGACGGGG